AUGGCUGAUUCCAACCCCAUUCUGGUUGGCGCUGAGCCCAGCACAGUGCCCCUAGCGGCCACCAGAGGGCGCACAGAGACUCCCAGGCGGGACAAGGGGUCGGUUUGUGGGAGGAAGAGGGAGCUGGAGCUCAGCCUCUUGCGCGCAAGCACCAGGCACAACAGCACAACGGACACCCAGAAGCAUGCUGAUGAGAGGGAAGCGGGCUGCAGGAAAAGCUACCCAACUAUAAAUUCGGCCUCCAGUGGAGGAAAGGGGAUGAGGAAACUGAGACUCGGAGCCAUUGACUGCUUGUCCAGAGCAAUCAGGGGAGGCAAGAUCUGAACACCUGCUGCCAGGAGGGUCCUGUGAGCUUCUCCUCACCUGGGUCAGUGCCCUGGUUUCUUCCACCACGUCUCAGUGUGGUUUAGGCCUCAUUCUCCACUUGGCUCUUGGGGACCCGUCUCUCUCCAGGGGGAGUCCAGAAUGGGAUGUGGCUCCUGAGGCUGGUCUGACCCCCGUGGCCUCCCUCCUUCUGAGCAUUAGGCCUUUUAUCAUGCCACCCAAGUUUGCUCUGGCUAGUUUUGGCAGCCACCUCACGCUGGCUUAAAUCCCACAUUUCUAGCAGCUUAAAUCCCUCAACUUUUAUCACAUGUGCUGUUUGUUGCAAACCCGUUUCUCCCCCUAGUGCAUCCAUGUGCAGCUGGGUCUUUGGAUGCGAGUCCAAGAACUGACAUUUAUCCCUGUCAGAUUUCAUCUUGUUCAUUCAUCUGACAAACAUUUGUUCAGAGCCCACGCCGUACCAGGCGCUGGGGAUACAGCACAGAAAGACAGAUCCCCUGCCCUUGAGGAGCUCAUGCUGUCAUUAAUCAUGGCAGCCGCCACCAACGAUUGAUCAGGGGCUCCCUCUGGGCCAUGCACCAUGCUGGGGGCUGCAUGGAGCUUGUCUCAUUGACCCUCGGUGCAUGGCAGGAUAGGUGGCAUUGCUCCUAUUUUGUAGAUGGGGAAGCCGAGGUUCAAAAAGUUCCUGUGACUUGUCUGGGAGUUCCCGUUGUGGUUCAGAGGGUUAAGAACCUGACAUAGUGUCUGUGAGGAGGAGGACUGAAUCCCUGGGCUCUCUCAGUGGGUUAAGAAUCUGAUGGUGUGGCAUAGGUUGCAGAUGUGGCUCAGAUCUGGUAUUGCUGCAGCUGUGGCGCAAGCCUGCAACUGCAGCUGAUUGGACCCCUGGUCUGGGAACUUCCAUAUGCUGCAGGUGCAGCUGCAAAAAAAAAAAAAAAAAAAAAAAAAAAAAAAAAGUUCCUGUGACUUGUCCAAAGUGGCAUCCCCGCAAUGUGGCAUCCCUGCA
rnacentral:lncRNA from 1 species